AUUGUACUCCCUCCGUCCCAAAAUAAGUGUCGCUGAUUUAGUACAAAGUUAUCCGUCCCAAAAUAAGUAUCGCUUAUUUUGGGACAGAUAACUCUGUACUAAAUCAGCGACACUUAUUUUGGGAGGGAGGGAGUAUAUU
rfam:Triticum urartu cultivar G1812 contig1037883, whole genome shotgun sequence.